rnacentral:rRNA from 1 species
GUCGUAGACCCGAAACCAGGUGAUCUACCCUUGGUCAGGUUGAAGUUCAGGUAACACUGAAUGGAGGACCGAACCGACUUACGUUGAAAAGUGAGCGGAUGAACUGAGGGUAGCGGAGAAAUUCCAAUCGAACUUGGAGAUAGCUGGUUCUCUCCGAAAUAGCUUUAGGGCUAGCGUCGACAUAAAGAUUCUUGGAGGUAGAGCACUGUUUGGGUGAGGGGUCCAUCCCGGAUUACCAAUCUCAGAUAAACUCCGAAUGCCAAUGAAUUAUGGUCGGCAGUCAGACUGCGAGUGCUAAGAUCCGUAGUCGAAAGGGAAACAGCCCAGACCACCAGCUAAGGUCCCAAAA